rnacentral:lncRNA from 1 species
CCUCGUCUAACACUACGUUUCCGUAGGUGAGGUUCACUCUUGCCGAUGNNNNNNNNNNNNNNNNNNNNNNNNNNNNNNNNNNNNNNNNNNNNNNNNNNNNNNNNNNNNNNNNNNNNNNNNNNNNNNNNNNNNNNNNNNNNNNNNNNNNUAGGUGGGGUUCACUUUUGAGUACAUCCCUCGUCUAACACUACGUUUCCGUAGGUGAGGUUCACUCUUUACUUUGGAUGGGAUACGCAUCCUGACUCUGUUACCAUUAAGACUUUCUCUAUCCGCGUUCUUCCGCAGGUAGAGUUAAUUUGGCGUCCUACUUUGUUACUGCGUCCAGUAAUAGUAGGAGUUCAAAUAUCUUUAUAUGGCUCAGCUCAUUUUGCUGCCGUAUCCCCGUCCGUGUUGUGGACUUCCACGAUUCCUCAGGAGCAUUUCGUGUUACACCCUCCUGUCUUGGUGUGCCUCUGCAACUCCAACUUGUCUGGGUUCUUUUUUCUGCGCCCCUUUUAUGUGGGAGGAUAAAGUCGAUCCCUGUCGAAUUUCCUCGACUUUUGCCAAAUGUCGAUCCCUUAUCGAGUUUGGUCGACUUUUGCGAAAUGUCGAUUCCUUGUUGACUUGGUCGACUUUUGUCGAAAAGUCGAUUCCUGGUGCUUUAGGUCAAAAGUCGAUCCCUUGCGUAACAAGUCGACUUUGCCAUUUUGUCCUUUUGUGCUGUCCUAGGGUCUAUAAAUAGGACCCCUAGGUUCUCCUUUUUUUUUAUCCAUCCAUGGCUCUUCUUGUGAGUCUCUUUGCUGAUUUUAUUCAGGGAGAGAUUGAGGAGCUGGAUCGAAUUCUGAAUAUUUUGGAUCCUCGGUCGUCGACCUUGGAUCUUCCUUCUCUGCGCCAACUUAUUGUUGAGCGGCAGAGUGUUGCUGUUGCUGCCAGGGAGUCCAUUUUUGAAGAAUGGUCUGGUGGCGAUCUUCCGCCUGCCUCUUCUUCUGCUAUUCCUCCCCGUGGCCGACGUCGGAGGCGUCCCCGCCGCGGUGCUUCUCCGCUGGAUCAGGUCCCUCGUCGCUUGCGUCGCCGUAUUAAUUUUAAUUAGGAGCCUGUAAAAUUUUUCAUUCAUCAUUUUUGCAAUUUUGAAUAAAUAUCUUUUACCUUUUCCUUUAUUUGACUUAUUGUUGAGCGGCAGAGUGUUGCUGUUGCUGCUCGGGAGUCCAUUUUUGAAGAAUGGUCUGGUGGCGAUCUUCCGCCUGCCUCUUCUUCUGCUAUUGCUCCCCGUGGCCGACGUCGGAGGCGUCCCCGUCGCGGUGCUUCUCCGCUGGAUCAGGUCCCUCGCCGCUUGCGUCGCCGUAUUAAUUUUAAUUAGGACCCUGUAAAAAUUUUUCAUUCAUCAUUUUUUUGAAUAAAUAUAUUUUUACCUUUUUCUUUAUUUGACUUACACCUUUACUUUGUAGUACGUUAGUCGAUCCCACCUUUUUCUGAGGAUGUCGAUGGCCGCUGAUCCUUUUCUAAAGGUGUCGGAUUUUUGACAAGUCGAUCUCAUUUCUCCCUGGAAAUGUCGAUGUUGUAAAAAAUGUCGAUCUCACCUUUUUCUGAGGAUGUCGAGGAGAGUGGUGUGGAAUGUCGAUCCUGACCUUCUCUUUUGAAGGUUUCGAAUUCCUUGCCAAACGUCGAUGCCUAUCCCCUUUUCCUGGGAAUGUCGAACAUGCUUACCUGCGGAAUGUCGAACCUUUUUUCUGAAAUGUCGAUGGAUCUUCUUGAAAUGUCGAUGGCCUCUCGUUGGGUUUUGGGGGUCGAUCUCAUUUCUCCCUGGAAAUGUCGAUGUUGUCUAAAAAUGUCGAUCCCACCUUUUUCUGAGGAUGUCGAAGACUGCUGAUCCUUUUCUAAAGGUGUCGAAUUUUUGACAAGUCGAUCUCAUUUCUCCCUGGAAAUGUCGAUGUUGUAAAAAAUGUCGAUCCCACCUUUUUUCUGAGGAUGUCGAAGACUGCUGAUCCUUUUCUAAAGGUGUCGAAUUUUUGACAAGUCGAUCUCAUUUCUCCCUGGAAAUGUCGAUGUUGUAAAAAAUGUCGAUCUCACCUUUUUCUGAGGAUGUCGAGGAGAGUGGUGUGGAAUGUCGAUCCUGACCUUCUCUUUUGAAGGUUUCCAAUUCCUUGCCAAACGUCGAUGCCUAUCCCCUUUUCCUGGGAAUGCCGAACAUGCUUACCUGCGGAAUGUCGAACCUGACCUUCUCUUUUGAAGGUUUCGAAUUCCUUGCCAAAUGUCGACGCCUAUCCCCUUUUCCUGGGAAUGUCGAACAUGCUUACCUGCUGAAUGUCGAUGGUUUUUCUGAAAUGUCGAUGAAUCUUCCUGAAAUGUCGAUGGCAUCUAGUUGGGUUUUGGGUUUUUUCACGGACUGGGCCGUCGUGGGCCUGCCGGGCCUGUGGGCUUUCCGGCCCAACGGGUCGACCCGGAUGAACAGUGCCCGCGACGGUUCGUAUUCGACUUUCCUCUAUAAAUAGCGGAGGGGAGUUCACUUCCUCUCCACUUGUUUCCAUCGCUCUGAGGCAUCGACUUUCUUCCCAUCGACUUCUUCGCUUCGACUUCCAGCUCCUUCGCUUCGACUUCCAGCGUGCGUGAGGCUUCGACUUUAGCCUUGGAGGUGCAGCUUUCUGGGGUCCGACUUUUGUUGUCGGGUUCUACUGAGGCUGCACUGGGUCCGACUUCCUUGGUGUCCGAUUUUUCUGAAAGUCGGUCCCUUUCGAAGUUGUUCCCCAUUGGACUGUGGUCUGACUUUGUAAAGUUUGACGCCCUGUCAUCGACUUUUCAAAGUUGGAUCCAUUUUUUAUUGGGAUCGACUUAUUCAAAGUUGGAUCCAUUUUUUAUUGGGAUCGACUUAUUGUCAGUCGACUUCCCUGUGAUCGACUUUUCGAGACCUUUGUCUCCUGACAGCCGACUUUUCUGGGAUCGACUUCUGAGAUCGACUUCCCUUAUUUUGCAAUUUCGAUCCUCUUAAGUCCAGGUCGACUUUUCUUGGGAUCGACUUUUGCCUUAACUUGGCCUGACUGCUAUGUUCUUUGUGCAGAUAAUGUCUUUUGACAAGAACGCACAGCAAAAUUCUUCUCCUCAACUGGAGAUUGUUACCGUCGACGUUCAGGAUGCUCCUUCUCAAUCGGAGUCUGUUCCCGUCGAGGUUCAGGACGCUCCUACUCAACCAGAGUCUGUUCAGGCUGCUCCUGUUCAGGUUCUUCCGUACCUGUCGCAAGUAGGAAAAAGAUGCUUUCCCGUCGCCCGUACCUGCUAGUAAGUUACUUAUUUAUUAUUUAUUUCGUAACUUACUCUUUAUUUCUUCCUUUUUUGUUUGUAGGUGCUCCCCCUUCUUCUCCCGUACAUUCCAGUUCGGAGUGUUCCACAUCUGGUUCGGGAAGUUCGGGUUCCUCCUCUUAUUCUUCUUCCUCAGGGGAUGUAGAUAUUGGAGGAACCCCUCCCUCCGUUGUUAGGACUCCUCCUCCCACUAUUAUAUUGACUUCUGUUCCUGAGGAGACUCCUACUUCGGAGGUUCUAUUUGUGACUACGGACAGUUCUGUUCAACUUCCUCCCGAAGUUCGUAGUGAAAAUAUUCAUAUUUUGGAAAAGUCCCCUUUCGAUUACCCCUCUGAGACGAGGGAAAAGUACCCCUUUCCUUCUCCCCUCGAGGAGAAGACCGCCCCAUCCUUCUAUCGGGAAAUGGAUGGUUCUUGGCGUCAGUGGUCCGUUCUUGUCCGUAACGGUUUCCAUGUCGUCCCUAUCCUUGACCGGGGCGAAUAUGGAACUGGGUAUGGUUCCUUCUGUGCAGUCUCUCUGACUGAUAUUCCAGGCUACCCCCUUUCCUCCAAUGCGGGUAGCUGCUCCAACACCCUUUCCCUGGAUGCUGCCCAAAGAAUUCUGAGGGGGUUGGAGCUUAGAGAGAGAGUGUACUGGGCGUACCCCUCUGAUAACACUGGCGACGUGCCCCCCUACUUCAUGCUGGCACUCCAUCGAGUGUAUUUCACUAACUUUCUGAUCCUUCCGAUCCCUUCUAUCAUUAGUGAAAUACUUCUUUACUCUGGAACGUGCAUCUCCCAAAUGGGUGCCGCCUUUUUCUUCUAUGUCAGGGGUUUUAUUAACAUUCUUAGGGAUGCUGGCAUAGUCCCUACCGCUCGGCUGUUCUUCCACUUCUUCACAUUCCAAAAUCCGAAGAAGGGCAGCCUUUUUAUUUCCUGUGCCAGCCGUUCUACCUCCGUUACUCACUCUGCUAUCUUGAAAGAUCCUCCGACCAGGCGGAACAAGAGUGAGUUCAUCUUUGUGGAUUGCAGGUUAUGCCCUGGCAGCAGACUUCUCCCUGCAUCUACUAGUGGCCGUAAGCCUAUUCCUCGUCCUGAUCUGACUGAGGAAGAGGGAGCUUCUGUGCAAAGGCUCGCCUUUUUGCAUCCUAUCGCUGUGCCUGUUUGUCACGCGAUUGAGGAUACUUUUAACCGACAAGGUCUUUCUUUGCCUGUUUUUUUUGUGUUUUUUACAUGCGUAUAUUUUCUAAUUCUGUUUUUGUUUCUUGCAGAUUUUUAUAUGCAUCACCCCGGAGGUGUCCCUGAACGCGUCGGACAGAACGAGACGGGUUCUAAACUCUAUGCCGCUGCCUCCAAACCUUCUGACGCUGAUCAUCUGAGGCAGCGUGCGCUAGAGAACGCCUACACAAUGGCGAAGUCCCCUACUCCUGACGAGAUCCGACGAACUGAGGAAGGGGAGGUAUCUCCGGAGGUACCCAAAGACAUUACUCCUGGGCAGUCUCCUGCUGCCUCGAGGCUUUCUAGCUUCUUCCGUACUUUGUCGGAAGAAGAGCGAGACAGCGGAGAAGGAGAAAGAGAUUCAGUCUAAGCGGACUGAAAAGACUACAGAGAGAGAGAUCUCUGAGAGGAGGAAAAGAAAAGAACGAACUCCUCCUCCCCGGACCACCUCACCUCCUUUGAGAAAAUCGAGGAGACAUUCUCCCUGGCGACGAACUCCUCCGCGCCGGAACUUUUAUUCUGGGGAGUCCUCCCGGGAUCGGUACAACUAUUCUUCCACCCGGGAGACACAACUGCCGGGGUACCAAGGUGCGCACCCCCGGAACUAUGGGACCAAGUUCCCUCUGGUUGCUGACACGGAUGCCGCCCGAACCACUCUGCGGACCAUAUCUGGGUAUCCGAUGGACCAGACUGUCGAGGAGAUAGGACAGAACCUAAGCAACGUGAGUGUUUCUGUUUUUACUAUUUUUAUAAGUAUGUCCUUACUCAUUCUUUCUCUUUUUGCAGCUCGCCUAUUUGUUCCACAGUCGCCUCUCCUCUUUGUCUCGUCUCCGUGACUAUCAGUCUAUGGAUGACGAGUUAAAGAAAGUGAAGCGCCGUUGCAGUGAUCUGGAACGUGAGGUUGCGCAAAAGGUUUCUGAUGCCUCCACCUUGUCCGCCACCAAUAAGAAGCUGUCUGAGGAUUGGGCUGCUCAGAGAACUCGCUUGAGAUAUACAGAGCAGGAACUCUCCAAAGUUCAGGGGGAAUUGGGGGCUGCAGAGCUGGAAUUAACUGCUGAACGUGCCAAGGUCUUGGUUAAGGAUGUAGUAAUUGCCGAUCUUGGCCGUCAGCGUACGAGUACUGAGGUGGACCUUGACUCCUGUCGGACGCAGAACGCUACACUUUCCGACCGACUGGGUGAAAGUCAAGAAGAGAAUCAGAGGCUGCUGAAGUCACAGGAAGAUGAUCGGGAAUUAAUAAUGCGACUGAAGGAAUCAGACCAGGCAAAGACUGAGGAAGCUCGAUUUGCAACUGAAGAGCUUCAACGUGUGGUCACCCAUCUGGAGACACUCCAAGCCGACUAUCUCGUUAACGUGCGAGAUUAUAAUGACUUGGUUGAUCUGGGUCCUCAUGUUUGCCCGGGCUUCGAAGCUGCAGAUGUUCACGACUGGGCCCGCAAGUACCCUAAGGAGGCCACUGAAGUUCGAGACCGGGCACUUGCGGAAGAAGAGGAUGAGAAGAAUGAAGAGAAUGAAGAAGAGGAAGUUCUAGAAGCGCUUGCUAACGUUGAUAAAGAUUUCUCAGUAGAAGACAACAACGAUGCAAAGUGCUCUAAAGAUACCCCUCCCUCUUCUAAAUAGAUUGCUUCUAUCUUAUCCUUGUAACACAUUCCUUUGUAAUUCAUGUUUGAUUAAUAUACGGAAUGUUUUUUUGAAUGUUUUGAUCACAACAAUAGUUGACUGUUGUAUUUUAAAGUGUUCUGAUAGUUAACUAAAUAACGUAUUAGUUACAUAGUUCUAACUAUUACAAGAGUAUAACCCUACUUAAUUGUUUUAAAAGUACGACUGUAGGUUAUCUGCGUGCCAUCUUCCCGCUUUAACCUGUACGUGUCUGGUCGGAGUUCUUCCUCCACCACACAUGGUCCUUCCCAAUUUGCGCCUAGUUUGCUUUUAGAGCAUUCUUUUCUACCGACACUUGCUCCUCUUCAUACUAGACUUCCCUUUCUUAUCGCUUUACCUUUGACAUUCUUGUUGUGGUAUCUAGUGAUACUUUGCUUAUAAGCUGUAUUCUUUGCCUGUACACUAUCCCUAAGCUCAUCCACUAAGUCCAGAGUUAUCGCCCAUGAUCUCAUGUUUUCUUCCGUAGGUGGGGUUCACUUUUGAGUACGUCCCUCGUCUAACACUACGUUUCCGUAGGUGAGGUUUACUCUUAAUGUGUUCCCCGUCUAACACUACGUUUUUCCGUAUCAUAAGAUAAUAUUCUGACUGUUGGAAUGCCUAGCUCUGUUGGGAUUAGUGCUUUUAUUCCAUAUGCUAGUGAGAACGGGGUUUCUUUGGUGGGUGUCUUUCAGUGGUUCUAUAUGCCCAUGUUCUUGCAUGGCCUCGUAAAAUCCCCACCGGUAAACUAUGUACCGUUAUCCGUCACUAUAUGCAUUGGAAUAUCGAAUCUGUACUUUAUUGCUGUUCCUUGAGUUAUUUUGGGUACAGCUAGUGCUUUAGCCCAUUUAGUAAAGUAGUCGACAGCUAUAAAUAUGAAUUUAGCCUGGACCACACAUGGUCCUUUACUGUUUAUCCCUCAUGUUGCAAAAGGGAUGGGGCUUACUACCCCUAUUAGUCGUAUGUUUUUGUGAAUCUGGCAUACCUUGCAUUUUCUUGCAGGUAAGAUUGCCUCUUUCUUUAGUGUAGGCUGGAAGUGCCUCUACCUUGUUAUUCUUUGGGCUAGAGUCCUCCCCCCUUGAUGUAUUUUGCAUAUCCCUUGAUACAAGGUUUCUUAUGCUGAAUGUUAUCAACUAGGCAGUAUCUUGGAAUGCGUGUUUAUGCCUUUUAUUCCUGUUCUCUGGGAGUUCCUACCCUUUAAUUUAUUCUAUUGAGGGUUUUCUCCAGUAUUCUGCCUGUGUUAUGUUUGGAUUGUACGGAGAUAUAGAUGAUGAGUCAACUAGUGCCUCUCUCUGCCCCCCCCUCUGGGGGUAUUAGCUGAGAUGUUUUUGAUCCUUUUAAAUCUGUUCUAUAUUCUGUGUGAAUACCGCAAGGGUGAAUAUGAUUAAUUGUUCUGCCUUGCGUAAUUAGGUGUGGGCCGGAUCUUCCUCAGAGAAGCUCUGCUUUCUCCUACUGAUCCCCCGCCGAAGAUUUAAUCUAUUACCCUCCUCUUAUGUUCAGUAUCUGAGUCGGGACUUUUUGAGCGCUGUCGCUUACCCUUGUUACUUGGGUUCCUGCGACCUUGUUGCUCCAUUUCUACUUUGUUUACGUAUUGUUUAAGCUUCCCCUCCUUUAUCUGUGUGUCUAGGAAGGUGCUCAGCUCCCUGCAAUUUUCUGUAUUGUGCCCGUAGUCCUUGUGGAACUUACAAUAUCUGUUCCCCCUUGUUCGGGCCUCUUUUGUUGCAGGGUUUAAUUCUUCUGGUUGAGGAAACCUUAUUCUUCCUUUUUCUUUGCUGUAGAUUUCCUCCUUUGGAGUGUUGAAAGCCGUAAACCCUAAGUCUUCAUACCUUGGGUAUUUAGGUUUUCUAAACUCCUCAGAUGUCUGGUAGACCUUUCCAUCGUAUUUUGGUCUCCAAGAUGAUUCUCCUUUUUCAAAUUUCUGUAAUUUUUUCUUUGGAGCCUCAUAUGCUUUUUUGUUGCUUAUAACACCUCUCUCUUUUUCUUUUUCUUUCUCAUUCUCCUCAGAGUUUAUGUAUUUUUGGGCCUUUGUUAGCAGGUCCUCCAUGCAUUUUACAUUACUUACGUUUAGCUUUAUUGCUAAUGGCGUGUUCAUGUCUAGCCCUUUUGAAUACGCGCAUAUUGCGAUUGUUGUGUUUAGAUCGGAGAUUUUCUGCAUUGCUUCCGUGAAUUUGGUUGUAUAAUUCCAGAGCGUAUCUCCAUUCUGUUUGAUUGCAAACAGUGAUUCUGUGCCCUUCCUUACCCUUGUGUUUCCACAGUGUUGGGCGACGAAUUUCUUUUUCAAGUCCUCGAAAUUCGUUAUGCUCCCUGGCUGAAGUUCGACAAACCACCUAUAUGUAGGUCCCUUUAGUGUUCCUGGGAAUGCUCUGCAGAGAAUGUCAUCCCUUGAUGUGGCCCACUGCAUUGCCCCUACGAACAUAUUUAUGUGGUCUGCUGGGUCCAUUUUCCCAUCGUAAACCUGGAGCCUGGGUAGCCUAAAAUUUAUGGGUGCUGGUUUUAUCAUCAGCGAUUUGUGCAAAGCAUCCAUGCCUACCAGCCAAUUUGGGACCUCACCUUCUUCUUCUGUGUCUCCCGUACUUUCUUCCUGUACGGGUUUUUUGAAAGAAGGUUUGGGUUGCCCCUUUGGUUUGUUAGGUAGUGGUGCGCUGGAGUGUUCCGCCCUAUGACUUGACACUUCCUGCUGUGCCUUGGCCUGCUUUGAGGUUUGAGCUUUUGUAUGGUAUAUUGAUACCCUAGAUUUUUCAAUAUCCUUUAUCUUUUCGCUCAUUUUUGCUAUGGUUUUCUUCAUUUCCUCCAUCUCUUCUAUGGGUACUUUUAUGAACCCAUGAGUGGAUUCUGAUGCAGCAGUCCUUGGUCCCCUGCUGCUUGUGGGUUUCUCCCUUUGAGGCUGUUCUUCCGAAGGCUUUUCAGUGAUGAGUCGGAUAGCAUCUGCUAUCGCCUGAACCGUGAUGUUCAGAUUUUCCCCUCCUACUGAUGCUUGGGGAGUUUGCCCAAAUUUGCCCUCGGGUUCAGUCUCAGGUCCUGUGGGAGUCCUUUUGUUCUUAUUGGCCUUAGGUGGUCGACCUACUGGCCUUUUGGUUUUUGAGUUGCCAGGUUGUUGUCCUGGCGCCUCCUGAGAAUUCGCUCCUUCUCCUUGGGAAGUGCUUCGAGUUACCACCAUCCUGGAGUGUUCGACUUUUCCUGGAAGGAGUGUUCGACUUUUCCUGGAAGGAGUGUUCGACUUUUCCUGGAAGGAGUGUUCGACUUUUCCUGGAAGGAGUGUUCGACUUUUCCUGGAAGGAGUGUUCGACUUUUGCCUGGAGAGGAAAGUCGAUCUUCAAGAAGUCGACCCUAGUGCACUUGGAGGAUUCCUUGGAAGCCGAUGUUCGAAAGCCUAGCUCCUUGAGGGGUCGACUUUUCUUCGGAAGAAAAAGUCGAUCACUUGAAAUGUUGAUCCCUUGCUGGCUGAUUUCCUCGCAAAACUUCCUAGCUGGCGACUUGGAAAAAAGUCGAUCCUUUUUUCGAAGAAGUCGAGGAGCUUUUGUCGUGAGUAUCUUUGAAUCACAGACGGCGCCAACUGAUGGGGGUGAAACCCGACCAGUACUCCAAGACGCGCAAGCAAGCGCCAAGCGGGGAACUCCGCGGGAAACCGGACCGGAACUCAAGUGUGCAGAGCUCUGCUUCGCUAGGAAUUCUUCUUCUCCAA